UCUACGUCAGUAAUUGAUAAGCAAAAACCCAGAAGUACCAAGAAUAAAGUCUCAAUUUCUUCAAUUAAAAAAACAAAACAAAACCGUAUUCAGAGCCAGGAGUGGUGGCGUGGAGUACACCUUCAAUCCCAACACAGGGGAGGCAGAGGCAGGUAGAGCUCUGAAUUCAAGCCCAGCCUGGUCUACAGAGUGAGUUUCAGGAUAGCCAGGGCUACACAGAGAAACCUGGAGUGAGCGGAGAUUUAAACCCUAACACUGACUUUAAUCCCUGGCAGCCAUGUGUUAGGAGAGAACCAACUCCCACAAGAUAUCCUCUGAUCUCUAUUUGUGGGCUGUGGUGUGUACUUCCUCACACAACAAACAAACGAGCAAGACAAAACCUUAUUCACAAUAAAAGCCUGUCUUUAGGACAACUGAACUGUGACUACCUGCUCUUGGGGCCUUGAAAACAGGAUGCUAGUGAAGGCAGCCAGAGCCCACUGUCUUCAUUUCCCUGAGGCCCUGAGGCACCCAGAGCAAGGCACAGAGGUGCACAGGCAGGCAGAGAGGACAGAAAGGACUGCUUAACACGUCUGAGGGGUUUUUCAGAUGACAAAAUGCUUUUGGAACCAGAUAGAUGUGCCAGGCUUGAAGAAUAUGGAAACGUUCCAAAUGGUCACUUUUAAUAUGAUUAAUUGGGUGCGAGCCAGGAGGUAGGUUUCACCUUCAAAAAGAAAAAAAAAAGGGAAAUCUAGGUCUUGAUAUGAUGUUUGUUUCAUUAGGAGACAGUUUCUGGAGUCCAGCCAUCUCAGGGACAAGUUCCAUCACGCUGACUGGGCCAAACUGCGUCCACGUUCCCAGACCCCGGAACCAACGCCGGUCCUGCUUCUUCGGGUGUUUCAUGCUUGUCUGUUUACCCGUAAAGGACGUAAAGAGGGAAGGUGCCGUUAUCUAAACCAAGGGACGCAAAUAGUGAAUGUGUUGCCUGCCUUGACUUAAUUGUGUGUAGCUUGCCCACGUCUUUGUUCCCUUAUCAUUUCUAGAUUCCGGACCAGAGUCCAGGAGAGGACCUGACUGCAAAAGCUGACUCAAGGACCCUGAAACCCCAUGACCCGGAUAAGGCCCGGUCACCGAUGUUAACCGCCUUGCUUACCUCUUUGUGUCAAAAUAUGAUUGGUCAAUGCAACAGCCCACCCCGCUCCCCUUGCUUUGUGCUCCCAUCCUAUAUAAAUGUUACACAAUCUCCCUUCCAGGACAGGGUUCAGGUCCCGAACUGGCCUCCUCCCUGCUGGAGAAGGAAACAAAGCUUUCAUUUUUAAACUUCUAUCUCUGAAGUGAGUUUUCUUGGCUUCCACCCCAACCCACAGUUUCAGGGAGUGAAAUACUUGCCACUAAGCAUGAUGACCUGACUGUUGCUAUUCUGUCUAAGCUCCACCCCCGACAGCUACCUGGGAACAGCAAGGUAUGCUCCGCCUCAUAGUCAGUUGCCUGGCAACAGCCAGCUAUGCCUGACUAUAAAGGGGGCUGCUUGCCCCCUCCUCUCCCUCUUGCUCUCUUUGCUCUUGUUUGCUCCUCCCUGUCCCUUCUCUCCCCAUCCCGCCCCCACUUCCCCCCACGUGCCCAUGCCCGGCCUCCUUUCCUCUCCUCUCCUCUUCUUCCGGGCUCGAGCAGAGAUUUAAACCCUAACACUGACUUUAAUCCGUGUGGUAGGAGAGAACCAGCUCCCACAAGAUAUCCUCUGAUCUGAAUUUGUGGGCUGUGCCCACAACCCACCCCAUCCACAACCACAGGAGUGUGCCAAUGGAGAAUCGUAUGUGCCUUCUGCCAGAGACAAGGCAAAUGGCACCAUCUGGAUUGGAAGCUGUUUCACAAGUUCCUGAGGAAAUCUAGUAUUUACUUCACUAUCAGAAAUCCUACGGUCCAGCUUGAGGUGGACCAAAACUCUCUUUUCUGGACAUAUGCACUCUACGAGGCCUAACAGGCAGCUAUGGAAGCUAAGGUUAUUGUCUACCAGGGGCUAACCCUUCAGCCAUAGGGUUAAACUAAACCAUGGCCAAGAGGCAGCCCCUAGCCAAAGCUACAUACCCAUUCCAGCAUCAAGGAAAACUGCUACAAAGUCGGACACCCCAUGUUAAAAACACAGAUAGGGGGGUUGGGGAUUUAGCUCAGUGGUAGAGCGCUUGCCUAGGAAGCGCAAGGCCCUGGGUUCGGUCCCCAGCUCCGAAAAAAAGAAAAGAAAAGAAAAGAAAAAACACAGGUAGGAUAGUCCCAAAGCUUCCUCCUAGAGUCCUCAGCUCAGUCGUCCACUUAGAUUCAGACAUGAGUGGGUAGGGAGUCCAUGCUUCCUCACAUGAGAGACCAAAUUUGAUCUCUGUGAGAAAUCUCGAGAGAGUAUUGAGAAGUCUUGGCCUGCCCCUGAAGAGGCUUUUUAUUCAUUUACAGAUGGGUUAUUCAACUCCAUCUGUCUUUCAGGAAGCCAUAUAGGUACAUAAAUACUUGUCCAGUGUCAGCCCAGCUCUUCCAGAGAUAACAUCAAUAAUACCACAUUCUUUCUGAUAGCCUAUCACAAAUUAGGGCUUCCUUGGUGUCUCAGUUAGGGUCUUAUUGCUGUGAACAGACACCAUGACCAAUGUAAGUUUUAUAAAGGACAACAAUUUAAUUGAGGCUGGCUUACAGGUUCAGAGGUUCAGUCUAGUAUCAUCAAGGCUCAAGGCAGAAGCAUGGCCGCAUCCAGGUAGGCAUGUUGCGGGAGGAGCUGAGAGUUCUAUAUCUUCAUCCGAAGGAAGCCAGGAACGGACUGUACAUCCUCAGGCAGCUAGGAGGAGGAUCUCCAAGCCCACCCCCACAGUGACACACUUCUUCCAACAAGGCCACACCUUCUAAUAGUGCCACUCCCUGCUCCAAGCAUAUGCAAAACAUCACACUGGGGCAUGCCAGCCUUUAGAUUUUCUCCAGAGCCCACGAAGUAUCCUGAUCCCACUGGUGGUUUAUAUGGACCUCCUGUCAACGGGAACAAGGGCUGUCCUUACCUGUCUUUGUCCCUUUCUUGGCACAGCACAGGGUCUUUGACAUUUAGACUUGACCUAGAACCUGGAGCUUGGUACUUCUUGUCAAUCGAUGUUUGGGGUUCUUUAGCUUUUUGUGGUCCUAAAAAUAUCUUUAAAAUUCAUUGUUUAUUUUUAUACUUUUCAUGUCCCUGACCUAACCAGCCCUGAGAAUCCAACAAUUAUCUAUGCUCUCCAAAAGGAAUUUUAUUAGGCUUGGGGUUAAGAGGAAGAAGAUAGAAGCAAGCAGGGAAACGUGAGAAGAGUUAUUUCGGUAAUGUCUGUCUUCUCUCUCACGGGACGAACCACUGAUCAGUCGAUUGGUCAAUCUCUUCAGGACUGUGGGCUCCUUUCAGCUUCUCUCAGCCUUCUUCUCUCGAGUGGCUGGCAGUUUCCUGUUAUUCCUGCCACGGGCCCUCUUCACAGAGGGAGGGAGCAACUCAGCCUGGCUCUCUUCGAUUUCCCCUAACAGCAAACAAUGGUGUCUGUCCUGGCCUCUUUAAAAACCGCAUUUAUUUUUAAAGAUUUACCAAUUUAUUGUGUGCACAGGAUGUGUGUGGUUGCAUGUGGGCCACAACAAAGGUGUGGAGGCCAAAGGAACCACUCAUGGGAGAUGAUUCUCUCCUCCUGCUUCUGGGAAUCAAACCCAGAUCAUCAAACUUGGCAGCAAGAGCCGUGACCCACCAAGCCAUCUCAUCUCAAUGGACCUGAAGCAAUCAGACCACUGCUACCUAAGGGUAGUUCCAGAAGGAGGGAGGGAAUGGGUAGAAUUCUCUUGCUCAGGCCCUCAAAACCUUUGUUCAGGAAAAACAGAGGAGCCAUGUUGUACUCUGAAACUGGCCUGAACAGGUCCAAGCCAUGCUUUUUGGUGGUGACGGACAUAGAACUCCCAUGAAGCUAAAGGUAGGGAAGAAAGACGCUGAGCUUUUUUGAUUGUGUUUUGUUUUGUUUUGUUAAGAUGAAAACUCAUGACAUAGCCCAGGCUAGCCUGGAACUCACAAAAUAGCCUGGUCUGGCAUCAAAUUCUCAAUCCUUCUGCCUUUGCCCCUAUGGCGACAUUUACACCUCUACUUUGCCACACUUGUGUGAAGCAAGCAGUAGAGUAGAACAGUCGAAAAGGUAGGAGAGACAAGGGACCAAAAUGCAGAUAACAGCAGUCUUUAUCCACGUCACCAUUAAGAACAGGUAGAAGCACAAUGAAGUGUGUAUGGAGUGGUGGUCUGAAGCUCUCAAGACAGCUUGUAGUCACAGAGACUUGAUUCUCCUGUGUAACACUGCAAACUCUACCCACAAGUGAGUAAUUACUGUAUUUCCCAGGGACCGGAUGAGCCCCUGCUCCCAUGGGUAGGGAUGAGCUUUAUUUACUCUGUUAUCCUCCAAAGUAAUCAGCCACUGUCCUGGGGACUUUGCCAUCCCUUUACUUCAAAGUUAAUCACUUUGCUUGAUAGGAUGGCCACCCCCUCUCUGGAAGGAGGGAGGACUUGUGUUGAUGGAAACUCCUCUAUUUUCUACCUCGGGAGAUGUCACAUUUCACCUAUACUCCCAGGCGGAAUAGUUGUUAUUCCUGUUUGGCAUGGCUGGCGCUGAAGGUUGAUUGUGCAGGGAACUCCAGACGGUCAAGGGCAGAGUUGGGAGGGUGCAUUUCCCAUGAAGCAGGGCCCGCCUGCCAGUGCUUCCCUCCAGAGUCCGGAACCCACUCACUGCAGAGUAAGCCCCCCUUUUGGCAGCUCUCAACCACCAAGAAGCCCAGAAGCCCAAGGGACGGACAACGGGGAUGUUGGAAGGUGGCCUCCGUUCUCACACCCAAGAAGCACUAUUGUGAUUUCUCUUAGACUUGUGUGCACAUGAGGCACUGGGACCCAACCGAGGGCUUUACGGAUGCUAGGUGAGAACUCUUCCAGAGCUCCACCAACCUGCCUUUUCUGUUCUUAGAACCACACAACCUUGCUCUCUAAUGGUCUAUAUUGACUUGAAUACCAAUUUUACAGCACUGCUUGACACUGCUUGAAAAUUAGGAUUUUGCAAAUGCUGAGCUGCCCUAAAGUGAGAGCGCUGAGCUUGGUGAGGCUUGGGUGCGAACAUGCACAGGCCCCAGGUUGAUUGAUUCCAUUUUAACUAAUGUUCACCCAAUUGUGGACCUCAGGCAUUCGCUGUCCCAACCUCCCAUCUUGCUGUAGGUCUACUAGGAUUACAGGAGUGUGUUGCAUACAGUGUCCGGCUUUUAUGUGAGUUCUGGGGAUUUGAACUCGAGCCCUCACUGGCACAAAGCAAGCAUGAGCUCUCUCCCCACCCCAUGGCUUCAGGAAACCCACCCCCCUCUGAGACUGGCUGUCCCGGAACUCACUCUGUAGAUCAGGCCAGACUCAAACUCAGAGAUCUGCCUGUCUCUGUACCCUGAGUGCUGGGAUCAAAAGCAUGCGCCACCACCACACGGCUGGCCUCGGGAACAUUUUAAUAACUUUUAAUUAGCGCCAACUCCAUCACAUUCUCCUUAAGUCUUAAUCUCUAUAAGCCUUCUUGGAACAGCCUCUUAGUGUUGACCUCUCCACUGUCUACUUCCGUCCUGGAACAUUCUUCUUCUUGUAUAGGACAAAACUAUAUUUUAUCAUAUAUUAAACCAAAAGCAUUUUAUGUUUUUAACCAAAAAUGUGUUUCUGCUCUAAAAAUCCCCAGUGUUUUGGUUUUCUCUUACAACCAAAAAAAAAAAAAAAAAAAAAAAAAAAAACCAAACAAAUAAAAACCCCUAACCACGGGCACAUCUGACCGCUUUAGGAGCCAGCUCUAGCUGGGAGAGGCUGUUAGGUCAUACUGCUCUUACUUAAAUGGUUAGCUUUCGUUUGCUGAGAGAAUCUGGGUCGUUUGCUCUAGAACGCGUACCCAAGCUUUUACAGAAGAGAUAAACAAAACUGAAAGUCUCAGGUCAAGUUAACUUCCAGUUCUUGCAGUUGCUAUUAUGACAGAUGUAUUCUGGAGAGGAAUAAAUGGGGAUUAGUGGGGAGUUUGCCAUCUUGUCGAGAAAGAGAAAGAGUACAAGAUGCUCAUGGAGAACAUAUCCUUCCAUUUGAGCCUCAUCAAACCACCAGUGAAUGGUGGGACCACCCCUGCCCCUUCGAUCAGGAGUCUGGAAGUCAAGUGUAAUGUGACUUGCCCAACUCCAGAAUUUCUUUGGCUGACUGAAACCAAGUUUCACAUCCGCCCUCAUCCUUUUGUUUUGCUAGUACACAGUAAAGGUACGAUUGCUUCUCUUAGAUAGAUCCUAUGAAUUUCCUCUGGAGAGAUAUUCAGGAAACCCAAAAAGAAAAGCCACAUGUCCUGGUCAUGAUGUGCUGGCAGCAGGUGACCACAGGGGAAUGUUGCAUGUAGUUUUAAAAUGUUACCGCCUUUGCUGUCACCAGCCCCGCCAGAGACCCUUGAACCCAUGGAUAAAAGACACACACUCUGUUCCUUUACAACUUGCUUUCUUGGCACAAUUACUGGGCACAGACAUCUUUCGCCUGGAAAAGUGUGCUCUUAGUAAUUUAUUAUCUCCGUCUCUCUGCUUGCCCUAAACUUAGUGGCUAGUCCCACCUAGCCCCUGCCAAACACCUUUGGCCGCCUGCCUGUUUUAGUGGCCACAGGCCCUAGUUCCUCCCACCCUCACACCACCCUCACCCGCACCCCUGCCACAGACUUCACGUGAUUGUUACAUUCUUCUUCCUCUAAAGCAAGGUGGAAAACUCUUCUUCUGGUGUCCCUCUCCUGCCUCCUGUACCUGAAAGCCCCACCCCUACCUUCUGCCCACUUUCUGACAAAUGAAGAACCAAUAGGGAACAGGACGUUAGCAUCAGAACCUCCCCUGUAGCGGGAGGAAUCUUUAAGCUCCUCUCAGGAUCCAGGUAGUGGUGCUUUAUACCAAGUAAGUGUACCUCAAAGACAAAAGGACUCACCAUCUGAGGCCUAGCAAUAGCUUUUUAAUCCAGUAUUUACGAAUGUAAUCCACCACAAUGACCUUAUCACAUGGCAAUAGGGACACCCAGGAACUAUUACAUGAGCAUAAGUCACCAGUGUCCCCUUUAGAUGAGCCAGGCAGUGGUGGUGCACACCUUUAAUCCAGCACUUGGGAAGCAGAAGGCAGGCAGAUUUCUGUGAGUUUGAGGCCAGACUGGUCUACACAGUGAGCUUCAGGAUAGCCAAGGCUGCACAGAAAAACCUUGUUUUGACAAAACAAAACAAAACAAAACAAAACAAAACAAAACAAAGAACAAAAAAAAAAGGGACAAGAAAAGAAGAGAGAAAGAAAACAACACGUGACUUACGGUAGAGUUAGUGUGGAUAUUGAAGGACACAGAAAUAUAACUGGAGCAGAAGCAAGGAGCCUAAGGCAUAAUCUUUAAAAUAAGAAAGCAAGGGAGAACAGCAGGCAAGCAUAGAAGUGCACCCAACGAGGGAGACUCUGAGUUUCCUGACAGGAGCAGGAAAUCACGUGAUCUCAAUACAAGGAACAGAAAUCCAUGCUUUGCCACAGUGAAGACAAAGGAAACCCAAUUGAAACUAGGAAGAAAAAGCAGAUAUCACCGGGAUCUUCUCCCAGGUCUGUCGGAAGUAACUUUAGCUCCCUGGGCCUUCCCUCGCUGUGAAAAGAAUUCAGAUGAGGCACACAGUGUAGUAUUGACAAGACAUGUGAGUGAUUGUGGAAUAAAUGGUGGGGUGGGCAGCUUCUAAAGAGACCAUCAGGUAGCACAUUCUAGGCCAGCAUGACACUAUACUAAAGACCUUUCCUGGGUGGGGGUGGGGGGUGUCUUUGUCCUGUGCAAGUCUUUGGCAGGCCUGCUCCAGUUGACUCUUAUCUGAGAGGGGACUGGGGUAUCUCUGUUAUUUAUCAGAAGGCCUCCAGCUCUAUAGCAAUCUUAUAAAAGAUUUAAGCUCCAAGAGAUAAUGGCAGAUAGCUAGCUGCCAGGCUUUGAGCUCCUUCUGGGUGUGAGUUCAUGAUUGCAUGUGUGUCCUCUUAUGCACCAGCCUUCAGGUUUAUACCUGGGAAUUAUGAGGGAGGGGCCCAUCGCCAAAACCUUUGCCUGCUGAUUUCUAACUAGGUACCUAGGACCUGGAUGUGGAGAUUAUCCUGGAUUCCCCAGGGUAGGGCACAUGAGAGUUCUUAUAAGAGAAGCAGGAGGCAGGAGAGUGAGGAAUAGAAGCAGAGGGUAGGUCCCUUGAAGCCACAGGCCACACAACUAACCUCCCGGAGCUGAAAAAUGAGGAAACAAAUUCUCCUCUCCCCAGCAUGACCUGAGCCCCGGCGGUCACUGUAGGGCCGUGCACACACCUUUGUGGUCUCUAGGCAUUGAGUUUAUGGCCAUGCGAUGGUUUGUAUAUGCUUGGCCCAGGGAGUGGCACUAUUUAGAGGUGUGACCUUGUUGGAGUAGGUGUAUCACUGUGGGCAUAAGCUUUAAGACCCUACACCUAGCUGCCUGGAAGUGAGUAUUCUGCUAGCAGCCUCCAGAUGAAGAUGUAGAACUCUCAGUUCCUCCUGCACCAUGCCUGUCUGGAUGCUGCCACGCUUCUGCCUUGAUGACAAUGGACUGAACCUCUGAACCUCUGAACCUGUAAGCCAACCCCAAUUAAAUGCUGUCUUUGUGAGAGUUGCCUUGGACAUGGUGUCUGCUCACAGCAGUAAAACCCUGAGACAGAAGUUGGUAUCAGGGACUGGGGUAUUGCCAUGAUAGGCCUGACCAUGCUUUUGGUUGGAAGAAUGUGGAUUUGGGGGCUUUGGAUUUGGAAGGUGAUAGAAUGCUGUAAGUGGGGCUUAAUGGGCCAUCCUGGUAGGAAUAUGGAAACCUUUGUUGUUGUCAGUGAUCAGGACUGUGUAGACCUAGCCCAAGAGGUUUUAAAGGAGAUGAAUUUUAGUAUGUGGUCUAGAGACUGUUUUUGUGGUAUUUUGGUGAAGAAUGUGACUUUUUUUGCCCUUGUCUGCAGAGUCUACCUAAGGCUAAGGUUAAAAGAUUUACGCUAAUUGCAUUGACAAAGGAAGUCUCACAAAAGCUCGGCAGAGACUUUGUUCUCUGGUUAAGUCUCAUGAAGAGCAUUUUGAACAAGCAUAGCAUGCUUAGGAAGGAAAUAUAUAAAAUAUAUGGUUCAGGUAUUAAAGGGGCACCAGGAAGUGAAACAGAGCUGAAUCCUGUGUUCAUGGAUAUUAAAUAGAAUUAAAGGAAGGUGGGAUCUCACCCAAGCUAAAUUUAGAUCCAGGUAUGGUGGUACACACCUUUAUUCUCAGGAGAUAAAUUCAAACAGAGCUGUAAGUUCAAGGUCAGCCUGGGACAAAGCAGGCCUUAGGUGAAGAAAAGCUUAAAUCCAGGCAUGGUGGAACAAGCCUUUGAUCCCAGCAUUAUAGAAGACAGAGCCAUGAAGAUCUCUGAGUUCAAGGUCAAUCUACAGAGCAAGUUCCAGGAAAGCCAAGCUUAGGCAGAGAGGGAGUCAGAAAA